CCCUUAGAUGUCCUGGGCUGCACGCGCGCUACACUGGAAGUUACGGAUUGAGAUACUACCUUGUCCGAAAUGGUCCGGGUAAUCACCUAAAAGCUUGUCAUAAUUGGAAUGGAUUAUUGUAACUAGUAAUCCUGAACGAGGAAUUCCUAGUAAGUCCCAGUCAACAGCUGGUACUGAUUACGUCCCUGUCCUUUGUACACACCGCCCGUCGCUACUACUGAUUGGACGUUUAAGCAAGAUUUUUAAACACUGACAGUGUGUAGUUCACGCUAUACUACAGUGAGAAGAAGAAGAUCGAGCUUACUUGUCUAGAGGAAGUAAAAGUCGUAACA
rnacentral:rRNA from 1 species